rnacentral:rRNA from 1 species
AAUGAACGUUGGCGGCGUGGAUUAGGCAUGCAAGUCGAGCGAGAACCGUAGCAAUACGGGGACAGCGGCGAAAGGGACAGUAAUGUGUAGGUACCUACCCCCGGGUUCGGGAUAGCUGCGGGAAACUGCAGGUAAUACCGAAUAAUGUCUUCGGACCAAAGGUGUGAUUCCACCUGGGGAGGGGCCUGCAUCCUAUUAGCUUGUUGGUGGGGUAACGGCUUACCAAGGCGAUGAUGGGUAGCGGGUGUGAGAGCAUGACCCGCGUCAUUGGGACUGAGACACUGCCCAGACACCUACGGGUGGCUGCAGUCGAGGAUCUUCGGCAAUGGGCGCAAGCCUGACCGAGCGACGCCGCGUGCGGGAUGAAGGCCUUCGGGUUGUAAACCGCUGUCGUAGAGGAGGAAAUGCAGGAGGGUUCUCCCUUCUGUUUGACCUAUUCUAGGAGGAAGUACGGGCUAAGUUCGUGCCAGCCGCCGUAACAC